UAAAUUACAAAAUGUCAGGUCGUUUUCGUAUGUCAGAAGGUGAUUGGAUAUGUGAUGAUAAUGAUUGUCAAAAUGUAAACUUUGCUCGGCGUUUAAAGUGUAACAAAUGUGGAAAAGAUAAACCAUUUGUUUCAAAUGGUGGCCCUUUUGUAAAAAAAGCACAUGAGGUUGGAGAAAAGUUUGCUGAAAAAAGUCAUGGUUUGUUUAGUGCUGAUGACUGGCAAUGUAGCAA
rnacentral:lncRNA from 1 species